rnacentral:rRNA from 1 species
UGGGGAAUAUUGGACAAUGGGCGCAAGCCUGAUCCAGCAAUGCCGCGUGUGUGAAGAAGGCCUUCGGGUUGUAAAGCACUUUUAUCAGGAGCGAAACGCUGUCGGCUAAUACCCGGCGGAACUGACGGUACCUGAGGAAUAAGCACCGGCUAACUUCGUGCCAGCAGCCGCGGUAAUACGAAGGGUGCAAGCGUUAAUCGGAAUUACUGGGCGUAAAGCGUGCGUAGGCGGUUUCUUAAGUCUGCUGUGAAAUCCCCGGGCUCAACCUGGGAAUGGCAGUGGAUACUGGGAGGCUAGAGUGUGUCAGAGGGUGGUGGAAUUCCCGGUGUAGCGGUGAAAUGCGUAGAGAUCGGGAGGAACAUCAGUGGCGAAGGCGGCCACCUGGGACAACACUGACGCUGAGGCACGAAAGCGUGGGGAGCAAACAGGAUUAGGAUACCCUGGUAGUCCACGCCCUAAACGAUGCGAACUGGAUGUUGGUCUCAACUCGGAGAUCAGUGUCGAAGCUAACGCGUUAAGUUCGCCGCCUGGGGAGUACGGUCGCAAGACUGAAACUCAAAUGAAUUGACGGGGUCAUAGCUGUUUCCUG